UGACACUAAACAAGGCUUUUGAGU
rnacentral:siRNA from 1 species